GAUGAACGCUGGCGGCGUGCCUAAUACAUGCAAGUCGAGCGAACAGACGAGGAGCUUGCUCCUUCGACGUUAGCGGCGGACGGGUGAGUAACACGUAGGUAACCUACCUAUAAGACUGGGAUAACUUCGGGAAACCGGAGCUAAUACCGGAUAAUAUUUCGAACCGCAUGGUUCGAUAGUGAAAGAUGGCUUUGCUAUCACUUAUAGAUGGACCUGCGCCGUAUUAACUAGUUGGUAAGGUAACGGCUUACCAAGGCAACGAUACGUAGCCGACCUGAGAGGGUGAUCGGCCACACUGGAACUGAGACACGGUCCAGACUCCUACGGGAGGCAGCAGUAGGGAAUCUUCCGCAAUGGGCGAAAGCCUGACGGAGCAACGCCGCGUGAGUGAUGAAGGUCUUCGGAUCGUAAAACUCUGUUAUUAGGGAAGAACAAACGUGUAAGUAACUGUGCACGUCUUGACGGUACCUAAUCAGAAAGCCACGGCUAACUACGUG
rnacentral:rRNA from 1 species